AACCAUUCUCACCUGCGGCUAGACCUGCGGAAGGAUCAUUACUGAGUGCGGGCCCGCUCCGGGCCCAACCUCCCACCCGUGUCUCUUGCGUACUUUGUUGCUUUGGCGGGCCCACCGGGUCACUCCGGUCGCCGGGGGGCGCUAUGCUCCCGGGCCCGUGCCCGCCAGAGCACCCCUGUGAACCCUGAUGAAGAGAGGCUGUCUGAGUCCCACGAUAAUCGUUAAAACUUUUAGCAAUGG
rnacentral:misc_RNA from 1 species